AGCUCCAAUAGCGUAUAUUAAAGUUGUUGCGGUUAAAAAGCUCGUAGUUGGAUUUCUGUCGAAAACGGCCGGUCCGCACUAUGUGCGUGUAUCUGGUUCGGUUUUGGCAUCCUCAUGAAGAACGUAACUGCGCUUGAUUGCGUGGUGCGGUAUUCAUGACUUUUACUUUGAGGAAAUUAGAGUGUUCACGGCAGGCAAGCGCCUUGAAUAUAUUAGCAUGGAAUAAUAAUAUAGGACAUGGGUUCUAUUUUGUUGGUUUCUAGAACUUAUGUAAUGAUUAAUAGGGAUAAUUGGGGGCAUUCGUAUUAACGCGUCAGAGGUGGAAUUCUUGGAUUGCGUUACGACGAACUACUGCGAAAGCAUUUGCCAA
rnacentral:rRNA from 1 species